GAUGAACGCUGGCGGCGUGCCUAAUACAUGCAAGUCGAGCGAAUGGAUUAAGAGCUUGCUCUUAUGAAGUUAGCGGCGGACGGGUGAGUAACACGUGGGUAACCUGCCCAUAAGACUGGGAUAACUCCGGGAAACCGGGGCUAAUACCGGAUAACAUUUUGAACCGCAUGGUUCGAAAUUGAAAGGCGGCUUCGGCUGUCACUUAUGGAUGGACCCGGGUCGCAUUAGCUAGUUGGUGAGGUAACGGCUAACCAAGGCAACGAUGCGUAGCCGACCUGAGAGGGUGAUCGGCCACACUGGGACUGAGACACGGCCCAGACUCCUACGGGAGGCAGCAGUAGGGAAUCUUCCGCAAUGGACGAAGGUCUGACGGAGCAACGCCGCGUGAGUGAUGAAGGCUUUCGGGUCGUAAAACUCUGUUGUUAGGGAAGAACAAGUGCUAGUUGAAUAAGCUAGCACCUUGACGGUACCUAACCAGAAAGCCACGGCUAACUACGUGCCAGCCGCCGCCGUAA
rnacentral:rRNA from 1 species